rnacentral:lncRNA from 1 species
CUACGUAAAUAUUGCUACGUAAUUAAUGUAAUGAACCAGGUGGACGAAUACGAUUGGAGAUUAGAGGAGGACGGGCGAUCCCUGAAAUUGGGGCCUCCUAGGAUCGCAAUUCCUGACGCUUCAGGCGCUAAAAGGUAAUCUUUAUGUCUCGCUUAUAACGAGACGUAGGGAAGGCUCAGUACAAGAGCUGCUGUCCGAAUGGGCCCUCCCAGUAGAGGCCCGGCCUCUACUGCAUUUUUCUUCUUCUUCUUCCUUUUUUCGCUUUUCUGCUUUUUUCACUUUUACAUGGAUUUCAAAAUAUACUAAAUAUAUCAUUAUAAAAAUUACUUUACAUACAUAAUUGAAAAAUGUUAAUCAUCUAUGUAUAAAAAUACAUUCCUAAUGUAUACAAAAAAUAUAGAAUAUGUAUGAAAAAAUUCAACAUCAAAACAUAUAUGUUUGAGAAACCUUAAUCUUGUAUUUGAAAAAUUGUUCAACGUGUAAAGCUUUCUUGUAUUUAAAUAAAGGAUUGUGAUAACUGUCAACCAUGUGGCAGAUUGCAAAAAGUACCGCACCUCCCAAACGAACCCCCUCCUUCAAUCCGAUUUUCUCCUCCCCGCACACGAGGUUGCGUGCUCUCCCCGGUUUUCUGGGUCGCUGCACCCGCACUAUCAGUAGUUUAAAAAAAGGCAAAACACAGGCCUUACAAGGAAAUUGGGGCCUCCUAGGAUCGCAAUUCCUGACGCUUCAGGCGCUAAAAGGUAAUCUUUAUGUCUCGCUUAUAACGAGACGUAGGGAAGGCUCAGUACAAGAGCUGCUGUCCGAAUGGGCCCUCCCAGUAGAGGCCCGGCCUCUACUGCAUUUUUCUUCUUCUUCUUCUUCUUCCUUUUUUCGCUUUUCUGCUUUUUUCACUUUUACAUGGAUUUCAAAAUAUACUAAAUAUAUCAUUAUAAAAAUUACUUUACAUACAUAAUUGAAAAAUGUUAAUCAUCUAUGUAUAAAAAUACAUUCCUAAUGUAUACAAAAAAUAUAGAAUAUGUAUGAAAAAAUUCGACAUCAAAACAUAUAUGUUUGAGAAACCUUAAUCUUGUAUUUGAAAAAUUGUUCAACGUGUAAAGCUUUCUUGUAUUUAAAUAAAGGAUUGUGAUAACUGUCAACCAUGUGGCAGAUUGCAAAAAGUACCGCACCUCCCAAACGAACCCCCUCCUUCGAUCCGAUUUUCUCCUCCCCGCACACGAGGUUGCGUGCUCUCCCCGGUUUUCUGGGUCGCUGCACCCGCACUAUCAGUAGUUUAAAAAAAGGCAAAACACAGGCCUUGCAAGGAAAUUGGGGCCUCCUAGGAUCGCAAUUCCUGACGCUUCAGGCGCUAAAAGGUAAUCUUUAUGUCUCGCUUAUAACGAGACGUAGGGAAGGCUCAGUACAAGAGCUGCUGUCCGAAUGGGCCCUCCCAGUAGAGGCCCGGCCUCUACUGCAUUUUUCUUCUUCUUCUUCUUCUUCCUUUUUUCGCUUUUCUGCUUUUUUCACUUUUACAUGGAUUUCAAAAUAUACUAAAUAUAUCAUUAUAAAAAUUACUUUACAUACAUAAUUGAAAAAUGUUAAUCAUCUAUGUAUAAAAAUACAUUCCUAAUGUAUACAAAAAAUAUAGAAUAUGUAUGAAAAAAUUCGACAUCAAAACAUAUAUGUUUGAGAAACCUUAAUCUUGUAUUUGAAAAAUUGUUCAACGUGUAAAGCUUUCUUGUAUUUAAAUAAAGGAUUGUGAUAACUGUCAACCAUGUGGCAGAUUGCAAAAAGUACCGCACCUCCCAAACGAACCCCCUCCUUCGAUCCGAUUUUCUCCUCCCCGCACACGAGGUUGCGUGCUCUCCCCGGUUUUCUGGGUCGCUGCACCCGCACUAUCAGUAGUUUAAAAAAAGGCAAAACACAGGCCUUACAAGGGAAUCGAACCCACAACCUACCAUACUAAAUGUAACAACAACACCCAGCUGCUCUAGCUCCCUUUGCUGAUUCCACAGGAGUUACAUAUCUUCUUGAGACGAGAUUGAAAAAAAAGACAGCGCUCAAUAACUGAAAAUCGAAACCAGUGGCCUCAUUUGUCCGGGUUUUAGGACUAUACGCCCUAGUUCCAUCAUUUUUUCUGCACGUUUCACGCCGGUUCACAAACCUGAUCAUCCCCUUCCCUCCUUUUCAGAUGCAAAUUACCACAAUAUUUUCACCUAAGUUAUCAACUUUGUUGGUCGUAUAUUACCAUGUUAUUUACAUAGGAGUCAAUGAGGGGUAUUUUUCAACAACUUUUUCACCCUUGGUUAAAUUUAACGUGGUGUCUUAUGUAAGUUAUCAGGUAUGUGGUUCGUAUAUUACCGUGCUAUUUUCACAUAAGUAACCGGGAUAUGUUUUUUAAAUAUUUUCCCCUUUGAUCAAAUUUACCAUGGUGUUUGU